rnacentral:lncRNA from 10 species
CAGCAAAAUUUAUUAGUCUAUCAGAAAGGUGUAUUAAGUCUAUGUAGUGUGAUACAUGUUUUAAAGAGAUUCAAAUUUUGGAUCUGAGAUGCUACUGUCAGGAAAGAAAAAUAAAAGCAGCUAAGAAUUGUUAUCUGCUGUUAAGACGUAAGUGCCACAGCAGAGACAGCAAAUAGCUUUCAUAAUAGAAAGAGUAGAUAAGGAUAUAUAACAGUUCUGCAUAAAUCUUGUUGGCCAGAAUUUU